GGCUUUGAAGUGUGGACGCCAGUCUGCAUGGAGCCGGCCUUGAAAUACCACCCUUUAAUGUUUGAUGUUCUAACGUGGACCCCUAAUCGGGGUUGCGGACAGUGUCUGGUGGGUAGUUUGACUGGGGCGGUCUCCUCCUAAAGAGUAACGGAGGAGCACGAAGGUUGGCUAAUCCUGGUCGGACAUCAGGAGGUUAGUGCAAUGGCAUAAGCCAGCUUGACUGCGAGCGUGACGGCGCGAGCAGGUGCGAAAGCAGGUCAUAGUGAUCCGGUGGUUCUGAAUGGAAGGGCCAUCGCUCAACGGAUAAAAGGUACUCCGGGGAUAACAGGCUGAUACCGCCCAAGAGUUCAUAUCGACGGCGGUGUUUGGCACCUCGAUGUCGGCUCAUCACAUCCUGGGGCUGAAGUAGGUCCCAAGGGUAUGGCUGUUCGCCAUUUAAAGUGGUACGCGAGCUGGGUUUAGAACGUCGUGAGACAGUUCGGUCCCUAUCUGCCGUGGGCGCUGGAGAACUGAGGGGGGCUGCUCCUAGUACGAGAGGACCGGAGUGGACGCAUCACUGGUGUUCGGGUUGUCAUGCCAAUGGCACUGCCCGGUAGCUAAAUGCGGAAGAGAUAAGUGCUGAAAGCAUCUAAGCACGAAACUUGCCCCGAGAUGAGUUCUCCCUGACUCCUUGAGAGUCCUGAAGGAACGUUGAAGACGACGACGUUGAUAGGCCGGGUGUGUAAGCGCAGCGAUGCGUUGAGCUAACCGGUACUAAUGAACCGUGAGGCUUAACCUUACAACGCCGAAGGUGUUU
rnacentral:rRNA from 1 species